rnacentral:rRNA from 1 species
AGUGAACGCUGGCGGUAGGCCUAACACAUGCAAGUCGAACGGCAGCACAGUAAGAGCUUGCUCUUACGGGUGGCGAGUGGCGGACGGGUGAGGAAUACAUCGGAAUCUAAUUUUUCGUGGGGGAUAACGUAGGGAAACUUACGCUAAUACCGCAUACGACCUACGGGUGAAAGCAGGGGAUCUUCGGACCUUGCGCGAUUGAAUGAGCCGAUGUCGGAUUAGCUAGUUGUCGGGGUAAAGGCCCACCAAGGCGACGAUCCGUAGCUGGUCUGAGAGGAUGAUCAGCCACACUGGAACUGAGACACGGUCCAGACUCCUACGGGAGGCAGCAGUGGGGAAUAUUGGACAAUGGGCGCAAGCCUGACCCAGCCAUACCGCGUGGGUGAAGAAGGCCUUCGGGUUGUAAAGCCCUUUUGUUGGGAAAGAAAAGCAGCAGGUUAAUACCCCGCUGUUCUGACGGUACCCAAAGAAUAAGCACCGGCUAACUUCGUG